AACGCACAUUGCACUCUAGCUUGCUAGAGUAUGCCUGUUUGAGAAUCUAAUGUAUCUCUUCCGCUGGCUUGCCACGGAGAUCUGGCUGUCUCUCUCGGGAGUAUGCUGAAUUAGAUUAACUGGCAGCGAGCUGUGUGAUGACGGCCUGCAGAGUCUGCUAAAGUAUAUGCAUGGAACCUUGGUUUCUCAUAGUACGGAAGCGACGCAGUCCUAGCACGGUGCCGCUGCUGGUCCACGACUGAGCCGCAAGGCUGAACCAUGGUCUCAAAUCAGGUAGGACUACCCGCUGAACUUAA
rnacentral:misc_RNA from 1 species